rnacentral:rRNA from 1 species
ACAUGCAGUCGAGGGGCAGCGGGGUGUAGCAAUACACUGCCGGCGACCGGCGCACGGGUGCGUAACGCGUAUGCAACCUACCCAUAACGGGGGCAUAACACUGAGAAAUUGGUACUAAUUCCCCAUAACAUUCGAAGAGGCAUCUCUUUGGGUUGAAAACUCCGGUGGUUAUGGAUGGGCAUGCGUUGUAUUAGCUAGUUGGUGAGGUAACGGCUCACCAAGGCGACGAUACAUAGGGGGACUGAGAGGUUAACCCCCCACAUUGGUACUGAGACACGGACCAAACUCCUACGGGAGGCAGCAGUGAGGAAUAUUGGUCAAUGGACGCAAGUCUGAACCAGCCAUGCCGCGUGCAGGAUGACGGCUCUAUGAGUUGUAAACUGCUUUUGUACGAGGGUAAACUCACCUACGUGUAGGUGACUGAAAGUAUCGUACGAAUAAGGAUCGGCUAACUCCGUGCCAGCAGCCGCGGUAAUACGGAGGAUUCAAGCGUUAUCCGGAUUUAUUGGGUUUAAAGGGUGCGUAGGCGGUUAGAUAAGUUAGAGGUGAAAUCCCGGGGCUUAACUCCGAAAUUGCCUCUAAUACUGUUUGACUAGAGAGUAGUUGCGGUAGGCGGAAUGUAUGGUGUAGCGGUGAAAUGCUUAGAGAUCAUACAGAACACCGAUUGCGAAGGCAGCUUACCAAACUAUAUCUGACGUUGAGGCACGAAAGCGUGGGGAGCAAACAGGAUUAGAUACCCUGGUAGUCCACGCAGUAAACGAUGAUAACUCGCUGUCGGCGAUACACAGUCGGUGGCUAAGCGAAAGCGAUAAGUUAUCCACCUGGGGAGUACGUUCGCAAGAAUGAAACUCAAGGAAUUGACGGGGGCCCGCACAAGCGGAGGAACAUGUGGUUUAAUUCGAUGAUACGCGAGGAACCUUACCCGGGCUUGAAAGUUAGCGACGGAUCUGGAAACAGGUCUUCCCUUCGG